rnacentral:tRNA from 1 species
CCCCCCGUAGCUCAGCCUGGAAGAGCGCCCGACUGUAGUUCGUGCUUUGCUCGGGCGCGAGCAGUAAUCGGGAGGUCCGGGGUUCAAAUCCCCGCGGGGGGACCA